UCUUACUGGUAUUUUUGGAUUUUGGUUUAGUUCGGCUUUUGAAAGCUGCAAAUGUUUCAUCAAAACCAGAUUGCAUGCCCAGAUCAUUGCCAUGACACAGGGCUGUCACAAAGUUUGAAAGAACUUUAUGAUCAAAGAAAGAGACAUGUAAUGGCUAAAUGGCAACAUGAGUAUAGCAAUGAAAUUGCCAUCCUUACCUAAUCGUUGAUUUUCUGCAGCUGGUGCUUUUUCUUUCUUAUCAUUAGCUCUUUUUGUCUGAUUAAACUCCAAUAAACUCCGCAUAGAUUUUGGGUUGUCUCCAACACUCAAUGGCUUCUUCAAAGUUAAAGGAGCACCCAGUAAUGGAAUAUUUACUGUAAUAGCUGAUUCAUUCUUACUCAGGGACCCAACCAUAAAAUGUGGA
rnacentral:misc_RNA from 1 species